rnacentral:rRNA from 1 species
GAUGAACGCUGGCGGCGUGCCUAAUACAUGCAAGUCGAGCGAACAGACGAGGAGCUUGCUCCUUUGACGUUAGCGGCGGACGGGUGAGUAACACGUAGGUAAUCUACCUAUAAGACUGGGAUAACUUCGGGAAACCGGAGCUAAUACCGGAUAAUAUUUCGAACCGCAUGGUUCGAUAGUGAAAGAUGGCUUUGCUAUCACUUAUAGAUGGACCUGCGCCGUAUUAGCUAGUUGGUAAGGUAACGGCUUACCAAGGCAACGAUACGUAGCCGACCUGAGAGGGUGAUCGGCCACACUGGAACUGAGACACGGUCCAGACUCCUACGGGAGGCAGCAGUAGGGAAUCUUCCGCAAUGGGCGAAAGCCUGACGGAGCAACGCCGCGUGAGUGAUGAAGGUCUUCGGAUCGUAAAACUCUGUUAUUAGGGAAGAACAAACGUGUAAGUAACUGUGCACGUCUUGACGGUACCUAAUCAGAAAGCCACGGCUAACUACGUG